rnacentral:pre_miRNA from 1 species
ACAACAUUCGGACCGUCGGUCCACAGAGCAAUAUCACCCACUCGGUGAAAGAUCUUCACUUUGUCGU